CAACCCAACCCUAGCCGCCCCAAUCUUCUCCUUCUCCUUCUCCUCUCCAUGGAACACAGCCAAGCAACGGAAGAAGGCACAAGCAGGAUUCAUGGAUGGAGGCCUCUCUUCUCUUCAAGACAAGAUGGCCACCAUGGUACGAUCCGGCGACCUCCUCCUUGGAUCUACAAUUUUUUUUUCUUUUGGAGCAAAAGUCCGGUGACCUCCUCCUUGGAUCUGCAAGUUUUUGGGGCAAAGUCCGUCAACCAUGCCCGUCAGGAUCCGCCAAGGUCUCCUCCUGGUAGCCAUGCGGAGACGAACUCAGUUUCCUCUUUGUUUCUUUCUUUCCAACAAGAGGACGGAAACUGGCCAUAGCCCAGCACCAUUUCGCCGGCCGACCAAGGCCCAGCACCAUUUCGCCGGCCGACCAAGGCCCAGCACCAGUUCGCCCGCCGACCAAGUCCCAGCACCAUUUCGCCCGCAGAAGGCCCAGGCCUCGCCGGCCCACCGACCAAGGCCCAGGCGUCG